ensembl:lncRNA
CUUUGUGAGCUCCUUGCCCUGACUUCAUGAAGUCUUUGGACUGUGAAACCCUGCUUCAUUAUCCUGACCUGAUGUCUCUGCGAGUUCAAGGCCAGGCUAGUCUACAGAGGCAAAUACAGGUUCCAGGUACCAGUCACCGCUUCAUUGGACAAAGGAAACCACGUGUGGCACUGCUGCAGUCACAGUACUGGGGAGGCUGAGGUAGGAGAAUCGUCACUAGUUUGAGACCAACCUGGGGUACACAGACCAUGUCAGACCAUGUCUCAAAAAUUCAAGAGAAAGUUACAUGAAUUCUGCAUUCUGUCCAUAACUCACCUGAGAAGCUACCUUGGAAUUUGGUACUCUGUGAAGGCACACCAUUUUUUGUGUCUUCAUAAUUUGAAACUAGGUCUACAUAAUAAUGGUCCUUGGUGUCCUAGGCCACUCCAAAAACCAGGCUAUAAGCUGCUCAGGUCCCCGCCCCCCAGAGCUGGGGACCGAACCCAGGAAAAAAAAAUAAUUAUAGACCAGACUAG